rnacentral:rRNA from 1 species
UACGAAGGGGGAAAGCGUUGUCCGGAUUUACUGGGUGUAAAGGGCGCGUAGGCGGGUUAGCAAGUCAGAGGUGAAAUACUACAGCUUAACUGUAGAACUGCCUUUGAAACUGCUAAUCUUGAGUGCGGAAGAGAGAGACGGAAUUCCAGGUGUAGCGGUGAAAUGCGUAGAUAUCUGGAGGAACACCAGUAGCGAAGGCGGUCUCUUGGUCCGUUACUGACGCUCAGGCGCGAAAGCGUGGUGAGCAAACAGG